rnacentral:rRNA from 1 species
ACUCCUACGGGAGGCAGCAGUGGGGAAUAUUGCACAAUGGGCGCAAGCCUGAUGCAGCCAUGCCGCGUGUGUGAAGAAGGCCUUCGGGUUGUAAAGCACUUUCAGUUGUGAGGAAGGUGGUGUCGUUAAUAGCGGCAUCAUUUGACGUUAGCAACAGAAGAAGCACCGGCUAACUCCGUGCCAGCAGCCGCGGUAAUACGGAGGGUGCGAGCGUUAAUCGGAAUUACUGGGCGUAAAGCGCAUGCAGGUGGUUUGUUAAGUCAGAUGUGAAAGCCCGGGGCUCAACCUCGGAACUGCAUUUGAAACUGGCAGACUAGAGUACUGUAGAGGGGGGUAGAAUUUCAGGUGUAGCGGUGAAAUGCGUAGAGAUCUGAAGGAAUACCGGUGGCGAAAGGCGGCCCCCUGGACAGAUACUGACACUCAGAUGCG